rnacentral:rRNA from 1 species
GGAGUUAGCCGGUGCUUCUUCUGUGAGUGAUGUCCUUCCUGACGGCUAUUAACCCGCAGGCCUUCUUCCUCACUGAAAGUGCUUUACAACCCGAAGGCCUUCUUCACACACGCGGCAUGGCUGGAUCAGGGUUGCCCCCAUUGUCCAAUAUUCCCCACUGCUGCCUCCCGUAGGAGUCUGGGCCGUGUCUCAGUCCCAGUGUGGCUGAUCAUCCUCUCAGACCAGCUACGGAUCGUCGCCUUGGUGAGCCGUUACCUCACCAACCAGCUAAUCCGACAUAGGCUCAUCCGAUAGCGCGAGGCCCGAAGGUCCCCCGCUUUCCCCCGUAGGGCGUAUGCGGUAUUAGCCUGGGUUUCCCCCAGGUUAUCCCCCACUACCGGGCAGAUUCCCUAUGCAUUACUCACCCGUCCGCCGCUCGCCACCAGGGAGCAAGCUCCCCGUGCUGCCGCUCGACUUGCAUGUGUUAGGCCUGCCGCCAGCGUUCAAUCUGAGCCAGGAUCAAACUCUGA